UGGGGAAUUUGGACAAUGGCGAAAGCCUGAUCCAGCAAUGCCGCGUGUGUGAAGAAGGCCUUCGGGUUGUAAAGCACUUUUGUCCGGAAAGAAAUCCUUGGCUCUAAUACGUCGGGGGAUGACGGUACCGGAAGAAUAAGCACCGGCUAACUACGUGCCAGCAGCCGCGGUAAUACGUAGGGUGCAAGCGUUAAUCGGAAUUACUGGGCGUAAAGCGUGCGCAGGCGGUUUUGCAAGACCGAUGUGAAAUCCCCGGGCUAACCUGGGAACUGCAUUGGUGACUGGCAGGCUAGAGUAUGGCAGAGGGGGGUAGAAUUCCACGUGUAGCAGUGAAAUGCGUAGAGAUGUGGAGGAAUACCGAUGGCGAAGGCAGCCCCCUGGGCCAAUACUGACGCUCAUGCACGAAAGCGUGGGGAGCAAACAGGAUUAGAUACCCUGGUAGUCCACGCCCUAAAC
rnacentral:rRNA from 1 species